GGUGUUAGUACGCGUCUGUUUCGACUCCCAGCCUGACAUCAUUUUUUUUUUUUUUUUUUUUUUUGUGUGUGUAACCACGCCUACACAGUGGCUGCCAAGGCUUACCCAUGAGUUAAACCUUCUUAAGUUGGUAAUGAGGAAGGCGUGGGCUCUAGCAGUGGACACCCGAAGGCAGCAGUGGGUGAAAACAAGCAAAAUUAAGAAAAGUUUGGCUGUGAGAAGGUGCUAGACAGCCAGCCAUAGUGACGAGGAGGCAGGAAGGUACAUCACCACCACAGGGAAGAACAGCCAGGACUGUCAGCAUCAAUGACUGCACAUGGCCAAGCACAAGACUCCAGAGGUAUCAUGGUCACCACAAAAAAGCUGCUCAACUCUGCAGCUCCAUCUAUCAUGAGGUGGAAGAUACAUUCAUAUAUUCUUCCUUUCAUCAUCAGUCCAUAGAACACUCAACUGUUUUACCCAUAGUGCCUCACUGUGUCAACAAAAGUUACUCAGGUUAGCAGGAAAGGCUGUGGUGAGCAACUGUGGUUUGUAAACAUACUGUGGGAGACAUCCUGUGGGUUUGUGGGUUGUGGAGAGAGAGAGAAUCAAUGGAAGGACAACAGUUAACAAAAAUACACAGGCAGCCUUACGGAAUGAGAGCAAGUUCCUGUUUACUUUCCCCAAAGCGAACUCUGUAAACCAGAGCAGCUAGCCGUGCCGCCUCAUCUUUUGUUGCCCGAUGGUAACCUGUAAAGGAAAGAUCAGUGCCGGUGGAGUGCCAUGUGGGGAGUACUAGCCUCGUAGCAGCUUGGGAAGCUCCUGGUGGAAGUGGAAGAUGAUGUCAGCAUUGCGGUCCUUCCCUGGCACUGUGUUGGUCCAUAAUUUCUUCAUAAAGAAGA